CACAUGCAAGUCGAACGGUAACAGGAAGCAGCUUGCUGCUUCGCUGACGAGUGGCGGACGGGUGAGUAAUGUCUGGGAAACUGCCUGAUGGAGGGGGAUAACUACUGGAAACGGUGGCUAAUACCGCAUAACGUCGCAAGACCAAAGAGGGGGACCUUCGGGCCUCUUGCCAUCAGAUGUGCCCAGAUGGGAUUAGCUAGUUGGUGAGGUAACGGCUCACCAAGGCGACGAUCCCUAGCUGGUCUGAGAGGAUGACCAGCCACACUGGAACUGAGACACGGUCCAGACUCCUACGGGAGGCAGCAGUGGGGAAUAUUGCACAAUGGGCGCAAGCCUGAUGCAGCCAUGCCGCGUGUAUGAAGAAGGCCUUCGGGUUGUAAAGUACUUUCAGCGGGGAGGAAGGUGUUGUGGUUAAUAACCGCAGCAAUUGACGUUACCCGCAGAAGAAGCACCGGCUAACUCCGUGCCAGCAGCCGCGGUAAUACGGAGGGUGCAAGCGUUAAUCGGAAUUACUGGGCGUAAAGCGCACGCAGGCGGUCUGUCAAGUCGGAUGUGAAAUCCCCGGGCUCAACCUGGGAACUGCAUUCGAAACUGGCAGGCUUGAGUCUUGUAGAGGGGGGUAGAAUUCCAGGUGUAGCGGUGAAAUGCGUAGAGAUCUGGAGGAAUACCGGUGGCGAAGGCGGCCCCCUGGACAAAGACUGACGCUCAGGUGCGAAAGCGUGGGGAGCAAACAGGAUUAGAUACCCUGGUAGUCCACGCCGUAAACGAUGUCUACUUGGAGGUUGUGCCCUUGAGGCGUGGCUUCCGGAGCUAACGCGUUAAGUAGACCGCCUGGGGAGUACGGCCGCAAGGUUAAAACUCAAAUGAAUUGACGGGGGCCCGCACAAGCGGUGGAGCAUGUGGUUUAAUUCGAUGCAACGCGAAGAACCUUACCUGGUCUUGACAUCCACAGAACUUUCCAGAGAUGGAUUGGUGCCUUCGGGAACUGUGAGACAGGUGCUGCAUGGCUGUCGUCAGCUCGUGUUGUGAAAUGUUGGGUUAAGUCCCGCAACGAGCGCAACCCUUAUCCUUUGUUGCCAGCGGUCCGGCCGGGAACUCAAAGGAGACUGCCAGUGAUAAACUGGAGGAAGGUGGGGAUGACGUCAAGUCAUCAUGGCCCUUACGACCAGGGCUACACACGUGCUACAAUGGCGCAUACAAAGAGAAGCGACCUCGCGAGAGCAAGCGGACCUCAUAAAGUGCGUCGUAGUCCGGAUUGGAGUCUGCAACUCGACUCCAUGAAGUCGGAAUCGCUAGUAAUCGUGGAUCAGAAUGCCACGGUGAAUACGUUCCCGGGCCUUGUACACACCGCCCGUCACACCAUGGGAGUGGGUUGCAAAAGAAGUAGGUAGCUUAACCUUCGGGAGGGCGCUUACCACUUUGUGAUUCAUGACUGGGGUGAAGUCGUAACAAGGUAACCGUAGGGGAACCUGCGGUUGGA
rnacentral:rRNA from 1 species